GGCUGAGAGAUCAGCUGUUCCCUUCGGGGACAGAAUGACAGGUGGUGCAUGGUUGUCGUCAGCUCGUGUCGUGAGAUGUUGGGUUAAGUCCCGUAACGAGCGCAACCCUUAUGAUCAGUUGCCAGCAUUCAGUUGGGCACUCUGGUCAGACUGCCGGUGACAAACCGGAGGAAGGCGGGGAUGACGUCAAAUCAUCAUGCCCCUUAUGACCUGGGCUACACACGUGCUACAAUGGGUGGUACAACGAGCAGCGAGACCGCGAGGUCAAGCGAAUCUCUAAAAACCAUCCUCAGUUCGGAUUGCAGGCUGCAACUCGCCUGCCUGAAGCUGGAAUCGCUAGUAAUCGCGGAUCAACACGCCGCGGUGAAUACGUUCCCCGGGUCUUGUACCCUCCCGA
rnacentral:rRNA from 1 species